AGAUACCCGGGUAGUCCACGCCGUAAACGAUGAUAACUAGCUAUUUGGUCUUUUGAAGACUGGGUGGCGCAGCUAACGCAUUAAGUUAUCCGCCUGGGGAGUACGGUCGCAAGAUUAAAACUCAAAGGAAUUGACGGGGGCCUGCACAAGCGGUGGAGCAUGUGGUUUAAUUCGAAGCAACGCGCAGAACCUUACCAGCGUUUGACAUCCUUGUCGCGGAUUCUAGAGAUAGUUUCCUUCAGUUCGGCUGGACAAGUGACAGGUGCUGCAUGGCCGCCGUCAG
rnacentral:rRNA from 1 species